rnacentral:lncRNA from 1 species
GACGCAAGGAUCCAAGAGACUGCCUGUGCUUUCUGGCAUUUGAAGGUUCGCAUUUUAAUGGCAAUCCUUGAAAACCUAAAAGCCUUAGAAACUAGAAGAAAUCAAUGUUUAAUGAUGGAACUUGAAACAUUAUGACAAAGGAGAAGGAGCUGAAAGGAAUUUUUAGACAUCACUGAGUGCAACCAAUUCAUCUUCUGCAUGAGCAAACAUAGAAGGAGAGAGAGAAAUGACAGGUGUCACACUACAGCCCCAGAUUUCCUAACACAAACUCCAGGAAAAGAAUCAUAUUGACUCACCUAGUAAUCUACCAAGCCCUGUCAGAGGCUAUGGACCUUCCUAUUCCACUUUUCAACGCCUGUCAAAGAUGACAAAGAUGACAAACAAGUGAUGAGGACACUGAGGCACAAUUAAAGAAUAACUUGUCAAAGAUCACAGUGUUAUUAGCAGUGAGAAAGAAUGCAGAUAAAAUCUUCCAACUCUGCAUCCCCCAUGUGCCCCACACCUUGCCCCGGGGUUACUGAAGACAGAG